AAGUCUAGGCGUGCACUGCGAGAUGACGAACGUCGCCAACGUCGUGCGAUUGGCUAUUAGGAAUGAGAAUAGAACAGCGGCGGAGAUCGACGACAUGUCGAACGGUGAUGAG
rnacentral:rRNA from 12 species